AAUCCAUAGGUUAAUGAGGCGAACCGGGGGAACUGAAACAUCUAAGUACCCCGAGGAAAAGAAAUCAACCGAGAUUCCCCCAGUAGCGGCGAGCGAACGGGGAGGAGCCCAGAGCCUGAAUCAGCAUGUGUGUUAGUGGAAGCGUCUGGAAAGGCGCGCGAUACAGGGUGACAGCCCCGUACACAAAAGCGCAUGUGCUGUGAGCUCGAUGAGUAGGGCGGGACACGUGGUAUCCUGUCUGAAUAUGGGGGGACCAUCCUCCAAGGCUAAAUACUCCUGACUGACCGAUAGUGAACCAGUACCGUGAGGGAAAGGCGAAAAGAACCCCGGCGAGGGGAGUGAAAAAGAACCUGAAACCGUGUACGUACAAGCAGUGGGAGCACAGGUUUACCUGUGUGACUGCGUACCUUUUGUAUAAUGGGUCAGCGACUUAUAUUCUGUAGCAAGGUUAACCGUAUAGGGGAGCCGGAGGGAAACCGAGUCUUAAUUGGGCGUUAAGUUGCAGGGUAUAGACCCGAAACCCGGUGAUCUAGCCAUGGGCAGGUUGAAGGUUGGGUAACACUAACUGGAGGACCGAACCGACUAAUGUUGAAAAAUUAGCGGAUGACCUGUGGCUGGGGGUGAAAGGCCAAUCAAACCGGGAGAUAGCUGGUUCUCCCCGAAAGCUAUUUAGGUAGCGCCUCGUGAAUUCAUCUCCGGGGGUAGAGCACUGUUUCGGCUAGGGGGCCAUCCCGGCUUACCAACCCGAUGCAAACUGCGAAUACCGGAGAAUGUUAUCACGGGAGACACACGGCGGGUGCUAACGUC
rnacentral:rRNA from 1 species